CCUACGGGUGGCAGCAGUGGGGAAUAUUGCUCAAUGGGCGAAACCCUGAUCCAGCGACGCAGCGUGCACGAUGACGUCUUUCGGUGUUUUAAGCUCUAUCAGCAGGGAAGAAAAUGACGGUACCUGACUAGCAAGCCCCGGCUAACUCCGUGCCAGCAGCCGCGGUAAUACGUCGGGGGCCGGCGUUAUCCGGCUGUACUGGGUGUAAUGGGAGCGUAGACGGGCCUGCAAGCCAGAUGUGAAAGCCCGGGGCUCAACCCCGGGACUGCAGUUGCAACUGGAAGGCUAGAGUGUCGGAGAGGCAGGCGGAAUUCCUAGUGUAGCGGUGAAAUGCGUAGAUAUUAGGAGGAACACCAGUGGCGAAGGCGGCCUGCUGGACGAUGACUGACGUUGAGGCUCGAAAGCGUGGGGAGCAAACAGGAUUAGAUACCCUAGUAGUC
rnacentral:rRNA from 1 species